ACAUGGAAGUCGAGCGGAUUGAUGGGAGCUUGCUCCCUGAUAUCAGCGGCGGACGGGUGAGUAACACGUGGGUAACCUGCCUGUAAGACUGGGAUAACUCCGGGAAACCGGGGCUAAUACCGGAUWACUCAUUUCCUCGCAUGAGGAAAUGUUGAAAGGUGGCUUUUAGCUAUCACUUACAGAUGGACCCGCGGCGCAUUAGCUAGUUGGUGAGGUAACGGCUCACCAAGGCAACGAUGCGUAGCCGACCUGAGAGGGUGAUCGGCCACACUGGGACUGAGACACGGCCCAGACUCUACGGGAGGCAGCAGUAGGGAAUCUUCCGCAAUGGACGAAAGUCUGACGGAGCAACGCCGCGUGAGUGAUGAAGGUUUUCGGAUCGUAAAGCUCUGUUGUUAGGGAAGAACAAGUGCCGUUCGAAUAGGGCGGCACCUUGACGGUACCUAACCAGAAAGCCACGGCUAAUACGUGCCAGCAGCCGCGGUAAUACGUAGGUGGCAAGCGUUGUCCGGAAUUAUUGGGCGUAAAGCGCGCGCAGGUGGUUCCUUAAGUCUGAUGUGAAAGCCCACGGCUCAACCGUGGAGGGUCAUUGGAAACUGGGGAACUUGAGUGCAGAAGAGGAAAGUGGAAUUCCAAGUGUAGCGUGAAAUGCGUAGAUAUUUGGAGGAACACCAGUGGCGAAGGCGACUUUCUGGUCUGU
rnacentral:rRNA from 1 species